rnacentral:tRNA from 1 species
GAGGGUAUAGCUCAGUGGUAGAGCACAUGUUUAGCGUGCACGAGGUCCUGGGGUUCAAUCCCCAGUACCUCCA